CUACGGGGGGCACCAGUGGGGAAUUUUGCGCAAUGGGGGAAACCCUGACGCAGCAAUACCGCGUGAGUGAAGAAGGCCUUUGGGUCGUAAAGCUCUUUUCUUGGGGAAGAUAGUGACGGUACCCAAGGAAUAAGCACCGGCUAACUCCGUGCCAGCAGCCGCGGUAAUACGGAGGGUGCAAGCGUUGUUCGGAUUUACUGGGCGUAAAGGGCACGUAGGCGGCACAGCAAGUUAAGGGUGAAAUCCCGGGACUCAACUCUGGAACUGCUCUUAAAACUGCUGAGCUAGAGAUAGUCAGAGGCGGGUGGAAUUCCAGGUGUAGAGGUGAAAUUCGUAGAUAUCUGGAGGAACACCGGUGGCGAAGGCGGCUCGCUGGGGCUAUUCUGACGCUAAGGUGCGAAAGCGUGGGGAGCAAACGGGAUUAGAUACCCCCGUAGUC
rnacentral:rRNA from 1 species